rnacentral:rRNA from 1 species
GGAAACCGGGUCUAAUACCGGAUACGACCUUUCACCGCAUGGUGGUUGGUGGAAAGAUUUUUUGGUUUUGGAUGGACUCGCGGCCUAUCAGCUUGUUGGUGAGGUAAUGGCUCACCAAGGCGACGACGGGUAGCCGGCCUGAGAGGGUGACCGGCCACACUGGGACUGAGACACGGCCCAGACUCCUACGGGAGGCAGCAGUGGGGAAUAUUGCACAAUGGGCGCAAGCCUGAUGCAGCGACGCCGCGUGAGGGAUGACGGCCUUCGGGUUGUAAACCUCUUUCAGCAGGGAAGAAGCGAAAGUGACGGUACCUGCAGAAGAAGCGCCGGCUAACUACGUGCCAGCAGCCGCGGUAAUACGUAGGGCGCAAGCGUUGUCCGGAAUUAUUGGGCGUAAAGAGCUCGUAGGCGGUUUGUCGCGUCUGCUGUGAAAGCCCGGGGCUCAACCCCGGGUCUGCAGUGGGUACGGGCAGACUAGAGUGCAGUAGGGGAGACUGGAAUUCCUGGUGUAGCGGUGAAAUGCGCAGAUAUCAGGAGGAACACCGAUGGCGAAGGCAGGUCUCUGGGCUGUAACUGACGCUGAGGAGCGAAAGCAUGGGGAGCGAACAGGAUUAGAUACCCUGGUAGUCCAUGCCGUAAACGUUGGGCACUAGGUGUGGGGGACAUUCCACGUUUUCCGCGCCGUAGCUAACGCAUUAAGUGCCCCGCCUGGGGAGUACGGCCGCAAGGCUAAAACUCAAAGGAAUUGACGG